AUUGAACGCUGGCGGCAGGCCUAACACAUGCAAGUCGAGCGAGCGGCGGACGGGUGAGUAAUGUAUGGGGACUGCCCGAUAGAGGGGGAUAACUACUGGAAACGGUGGCUAAUACCGCAUACUAUCGGAUAACCCAUAUGGGAUUAGCUAGUAGGUGGGGGAAAGGCUCACCUAGGCGACGAUCUCUAGCUGGUCUGAGAGGAUGAUCAGUCACACUGGGACGUGGACACGGCCCAGACUCCUUCGGAGGCAGCGGUGGGGAAUAUUGCACAAUGGGCGAAAGCCUGACGCCGCCAUGCCGCGUGUAUGAAGAAGUCCUUAGGGUUGUAAGGUACUUUCAGCGAGGAGGCGUUACCCGCAGAAGAAGCACCGGCUAACCCCGUGCCAGCAGCCGCGGUAAUAC
rnacentral:rRNA from 1 species